ACCAAACAAAAAUAAUUAGCAGUAUUCAACUAACUAAGAAAUCAUUGAAUUACAAACAAAAAAAAACUGAACAAUGAGUUCAUCACCAACACAAGGGUUCGGUCUGGGAGAAUUUCCGAAAUUCAUGAAGAUUCUACCUGCAAUUCUGGUUGUGGUAACUUGUUCGGUGAGAAAUUCAAAUACCCAUUUUCCAUCAAAAAGAUCACAAAUUUCAGGAGGCGAUUCGCUUUCUUCAGUAAUCUUCUUGGAACUGUGAAGAAGUUAAUAUGGAUAUAGUAGUUGAAGAUCUUCCAUCAUUUUUAAAAAGCUUUAGCACCUUGCAAAACCUAUAUCAACUUGAACAACAUUUAGCUGAUGAGAAUGAAAGGCUUGCUUUGAAAGUGGCUUUAGACAAUGCUGUCACACAGCUGGUUCAAUCUCACGCAAAGACAGUUGGGGAUCAAUCAGGCGCUUCCUCACUGGAACCCGAAAGACAAAAACAAGAUGUAAUGCUGGAGAAUCAAGUUACUUCUACAAAGAGAAGACUGUGUUCUAACUGUGGAAAAUCUAAGAAGCUCAAGACCGCAGCGACCAAGGUGAAGACUGAACUAGAUGUCAUACAAAGGUUUAAAGCUUCUGGUCAUAUAGGAGACGAUAAGUUUUUCCAAGGAAAGAGAUGAAAACCCAUUCAGCUUCGUCAAUUGGUGCUCAAACUCAACCUACAAACUCCAGCGGGUCGUAUACUAGUAGCGAAGAGUUGGACUCACCUCUGCACCGUGUUAUGCAGUUGGAUCAUCAUCGCAUUUAUAGGCCCAUAUCUUCGAGUAGAACUCCACGAACCCACUAUGCACGUAGCACCAGCAGUUCCACAUCAUACAGUAGUUCCGAGGAGGAGGACUACCCAUCUAGAAGCAGGAGCCGAUAUUCCAAGGAUGAUCCACCACGUAGAAUCAGCAGUUCCUCAUCAUACAGUAGUUCCCAGGAGGAGGACUACCCAGUCAGAAGGAGGAGUCGAUAUUCCAAGGCUGAUCCACCACAGAAAAAGCCGGGACAUGUUAGAAGAUUUAUGAACAAGAUUGCAGGCAUGUUCCAUCAUGAUCGCCUUGAGGAUACAGAUGCAUCAUUGUCGGAUCAUCAUCUUUCAGAUCAUCAUCAUCAUCAUCUUCGCCGCAAAAGCAAAGAGAAACGUAUGCAAAAGAGAAGAACAACAUCAGUUAACAAGCCAAUGAGAUUUCCGAACACUCGUAGAAAGGCAUCAGACGGUUAAAACUGUAAGUUAAUAACGAAACCAAAAAUUUGCCUAGAAGUAUGCCUGUUAUCUUCUCUGUUCUCUCCUUAUGUCAGGCUAGCUCUUCUAAGAUAGGAUUUUUUUCCACAAAGAAUUAAACAUCAAAGUCAUUUCAUCUUGUUUAUGUUUUUCAUCUCUUUCUAAAGUCUUAUCUUGUAAUUUCCUAGAAACUUUUCGGUUUCGACUAAAAAGUUUUUCUAUUGUUUGAUGGUGAUAAUUUGGGUGCUUCAGCCUUCAUGGCAAUUUCUUGUAACCGCACCUCUCUUUGCUAUAUUUUCCUAUUUUUGAAUUAUUCCUGUUGGAAUUCCAAGUAUAGUUUGACCUAAUCAAUUCACGAUGAGCUUACAGUAUCAUCCAUCCUGUAAGUUUGUCAUUUCCUUAUGUAACCUCAGGGUUAGUACCUGGAUUAUCUUUUUUUUUUUGUCUGAAGAGAACCAACCCCUACUAAGCAUCUUGUACAGAGUCAGGACUCAUAACUUCUCUCAAGUGAUUGCACCAGAAGUAUGUACUUUGGGAUAGACUAUUUCAUGCUUUAGUGUGUUAAGGAUGUUAAGCAAAUGCACCCAGAAUUCUGCAUCAUUCACUAUGUUUUCAAUUUGGAUUCUCUGUUUAUCCUCAGCAAUCUUCGAAUGCAGAAUCUAUCAACUUCAACAAAAUAUUCUGCAGGACGAAAGUACCGGUGGAAAUGCUGGAUAGAAGUGGGAUUUUUGAAUUUCUUGCCUCUUGCUGGAUUGGUUGGAAGCUCACAGCAGAAGCAGCAAAGAUGAAAUGAAAGAGAAGAUCCCAAAUAGCAAGAAUUCUGAGCUUAAUCUUGAGAAGCAAAGAAUACCAAAAGAUGGUGAAGCUAGUUUGCAACUACGAGAGCUUCCUGGCGCCGGAAAAUCUUUUUGAGGGAGAACAAAGUAAUGGUGAAGGUAGUGAUUUGAAGAUGGACUAUAAGAAGGCAUUGGAGGCUUUAGUACCUUGAAAUGAUUGAGUUGUGGGAAGAGAAGAUAAAGAUGGCAGAGAAACUUGAAUUCAAUGUGAAGUGUCUUCGUGUACGAGAGUGUGAAAAAUGGGCUUGGUGGGGUGCAGAAAUUUAUGGCUGAACUGCAGGAGCAAGGUCAGAUAUUUCAAGCAGCAAAACCAAAAAUUAGGGCAAUUGAGGGUGUGUUAAGGAUAUAGCAGAAAUGCAGCUGAGUGCAGCAAAGGAUGAACUGCGAGGCAAUGUUUCUGGCUUACUCAUGGAGCUAGAUACCGAAAUGUACUUACAAGUGGGUGAAAACUUACUUUUUGAUGGAAUGUUUCGCAUUAUGCCAUUAUGUAGUAGUCGAAAAGAAAAUGUUCAAGAAAAAUUAGAGAAGUCACCUUUUUGUGCGCAAAAGAACAUUCUGUAAAUUUUAACGAGUGUAGAAGUAUGUCUGUUGUUGCAA